rnacentral:ncRNA from 2 species
UAGAAUAUUUUUCUCCGAGCCUUGGAUCCUAAAGUUGCAAUGCUGCUAUGGAUGCAAGGUCUGGACAAAGUCCACGGAGUAGUAGAAGAAAUUCUGUUACUUGCUGUAUUGCGAAGGAGAUGUGAAAAGAAUUGG